rnacentral:rRNA from 1 species
GACGUAGGAUGCGAGCGUUGUCCGGAUUUAUUGGGCGUAAAGAGUUCGUAGGUGUUCGUUAAGUUUGGUGUUAAAGACCAGGGCUCAACCUUGGGACCGCACUGAAUACUGGCGGACUGGAGUGAAGUAGAGGCAAGCGGAAUUCCAGGUGUAGCGGUGAAAUGCGUAGAUAUCUGGAAGAACACCGGGUGGCGAAGGCGGAUCUCUGGGCCUGUCCUGACGCUGAGGCGCGAAAGCUAGGGGAGCAAACGGG